AGGAGUACAUAGUUAACAUUUUGUUAGAUAUUGCUAAAUUGCCACCUUUAGUUUUGAUGAGUGAGCAGGCGUUUAUCUGGCAUAUAAAGGUGUAACAAAGGGGUGAUAUUCCAGGCACAGGGAGCAGCAGGAACAAAGACACAGCAUGUGCAAGUGAUCAUGCAGUCUGGUGGGGUAUAUGGUAGGGAGUGGGCAGACUAAAAUAAUUUAGGGCCAGGUCAAGAAUUGGGUGAGCUGAGGCAUCAGGGCAAAUCUCUCAGAAGUAAUCUGAGAGAAGUAAUAGGAUAAAUCUCUCAGAAGUAAUAGGAUAGAAGGCAAAGGUGAGUAGGGGCAUGAAUCCGUUUCUGUGGAUGGUAUCUUUCCUGCUGCCUCCCUCUCUCCCUGCCUGCUUACUUGGUUUCCCGAGUGCCUGCCUUGCCCUCCUGCCCUCACACAUUUAUUGAACACCAGUUGCAUGCCAGGCACUACUGUAGGCACUGCUUCUUGCUCUCAUAGUAUCUGCCUUCUAGUGGGGAAGACAUACAAUCAACAAGAGAAUGAAGGAAGGGAGGAAGAGAGGAAGGGAGGAAGAGAGGAAGGGAGGAAAGGAAUCUGGGAGGCAGGAGUGCUGUGAGGGAAAUCAUGCAGAGAAGGGUAGUGUGGGGUGACAAAGAGGUGGCCCUGGCGACCUGGAAGGUGGAUGCUGCUCACUCACUUCCUGCCUAAGUCCCAUCCCUGCCCUGUCUGUCCCAGACAUCACUGCUCACCCAGGGCACUGGGAUUUCCCUCCUCUCUGAACUUGACUUCUGAUUUCAUGGUAUGUAUUUCUCAUGCUUCUUGUUUUCAUUUCCCAUCUCCCCUCUUUGACUGUAAGCUCCUUGAGGGCAGGGCUGAGUUGUUUUUACAUGUUUGGCUCCUACGCUAGAGUCCAGUGCCUUGAAGCACAGAAACUUGAUUUUAAAAAACAAAAAACAAAAUCUCCAUUGUUGAAAAACUUAGCAAGUUUACAUUUUCUGUUUUUUCUUUUUCUCUUGUUUCUGAGGUUGUUUGCAUGAUACAUGGUCACCACUCCUGAAGAAUACUUUUGCUCCUGCUGAGUCGUCCUGCCUGUGCCUUCCAUCGUUGCAGGAACAGCCACGUUGUCCGGCUGGCGAUAAAUGAAGGGCCUCCCUGGUUGGGCUCCUCAGCUCAUAAUGAGGAUUCCCAGCAGGCCUGGAUGGAUCUGAAGUAAUAGACAUGGAUAGGACCAAGGAAAUCAGUGAAGGAUGAAGCACCCAGAGAACAGCAACAGUGGAGAGUGCCUUCUGAUGACAAUUGGCAAUCGCACAGAGCUGCCACUUGAGGACAAUGUACCAGCUGAAGACUGAACAUCUGACUACCGUGAGCUCCGAGUGAGGCAAGAUGGGGAAGAAUGAGAACUAGAGCUCAGCUACAAGAGUUGUGUGUGCCAGGAGGGAGGUAAGAAAACUGGUCCUGGGUGAUGAGUACCACAGAGCAGGAGGUGAACAAAACCCAAAUAUCCCAGAGAGUAGGCCAGUGGUUUCCCUGGGGAAUGUGAAGGGAGCUACUAACAAGCCCCAGCGUCCCAGGAGCCAAGUCUCCCUAGUAUCCAGGGUUCCUCCCAGCUUGCAUCUGCCCACAAGGAUCUCAUGUACCACUGUCAGGGAUCUGGCUGAAGUCUCAACAGCCUAUGUUUACCACUGUCCUGUGGGGAACAGGAUACUGUUCCCAAUCAGUUCCUAUCUUGCUUGUUUCAAACUCAGAAUCAUUGUGACAUGAGCCUUUGGGUGGGGACUUUGAAAUCUUGUUUUCUCUAAAGAAGUAGUUUUCAAAAACAUUUGAUCUUGAUCCACAGUAAGAAAUAUAUUUCACAUUAAAAUGCAGUAUAUAUAUGUGUUAAUAUGCACACAUAUGUGGAACUGAGAUAGGUUUCCGUGAAAUUUACCCUUACCACAUUUGAUGAUCUCUAGUGUGGCCCAUUCCAUUUCACUUAAAAUAUGUUAAUCACAACACAGUAAACUGUUGUAUAUCCCACAAAUGGGUCCUGACCCAUAGCAGGAAAAAGUAGUCUUGAAGCAUUCAGGCUUGAGUUUUGUUCUUUGGCUGUCAGGGCCUUGUGCCACCUUGGGAGCAAACCUGCCCUCCCUGAGCCGAUGAAACCCAUUUCCUGACAACAACUGAAUGCUUUAAUUUCCUCCUCACAGAGGGACCAGAAAUGAACUGGCAUUUCCUGGGGAAUCCAAAGACUUAUGAUGUAAAUAACUUGCAUGUAUUUCUUCAUGUAGUUCUCAUCCUAUCCAUUUGAUAUUUGAAUUCUCCUUUCACAAGUGAAAUUAAAGAAAUUGAAUGAUUCAUCAGUGGUCUCGAAGGUAAUAACUGGGAAAACUGGCACUUCAACCUGAGACUGCAGCUUCAAGACCAAGUACCUUUCUUCUGUAUCAAUCAGAUUCCUAUCCCCAGGGCUCUCCUAUAUAGCAACUCUGGAGCUUGAAUUCCUUUUCCAUUUUCCCUCCUGAAUCCCAAACCCUCUCUUUGCUAUAUAUAUACCGCUGGAAUAAUUUGAAAGUAAAGAUUUUAUGUAGCAAACAAUGUCCUCUACGUGUGUGGCAAUCAUCCUUAGCCUCAUGAGUAUAUAUAACCUUGUCUUAUCCUCAUGAGUAUUUCUCAGUAACAUUUUGAUGGAUGCAAGAGCUGACACGGCAGAAGCAGUUGUCUGUUGUGUUGUCUCCAAUGACACAUGACAAUCUUCCUUCUUAAUUAGGAACAGGAUGUAUGCAUGAUUUAUAUCUGCAAGCUAUGACUCUCCAAGAGGUGAAGUCUCAGUUGUUAGUAUUUGAAAUAUCCUCUAUAAACCCUAAAGUUAGUACAACAGAAUGUGAAUGGCAUAAUGGCAGAUACAUCAGCUUUUGUCUGACAUAAUAAAAAGAAUAAAAGUUCUUUUUACCCUAUAACCUGUUUAUGUAUGAAAUAAAUGUGCCAAUAUAUGGCAUCUAGAGAUAUCUAGAAUCAUAGAAUUUGAAAGUUUUAAUGAUCUCUGUUGAAGUUUGAGGUCAGUGUCUUUGUGCUUGAAGGAUAUUUUCUAAUGGAUUGGGGGUGGUAGUGCUAAAAGGAACAUGAAUCAUGCAUGAAUAAGGAAGAAAAUCUCCUAGAAUUCUUUUGAGGGAAUGGAAGCUUGAUUACUUAAAAAAUAUAAUAAUUAUAAAACAAAUGCACAUUUAUUAUAAACAGUUUUGAAACAAAAAAAGGUAUAUGGUAGCAAAUAAUAUGCUUUUAAUACCCAGAGUUAACUGUUAAAAUUUUAGAUAUAUUUCAUUUUGUCUUUUUAAUACCUCUCAAAUAAACACAAGGGUUCAUAUGUUUACACAAUUAGGAUCAAGUUCAUCAUACUGAAAUGUAGUUCCAUAUCUCUGCUUUUCUUUAAAAAAAUUAUAUUAAUGAAGAACUUUCCCCAGUGCUGCUAUAUAUUCUCUGGAAAUAUAUAUUUUAAAAUCUAUUCCUUUCCUGGACAUUAUGGGGUUUUUUAGGAUAUUAAAAAUAUA